AAAGAAUGCCGGGCAAUUACAGGUUCGACGGCCGAAAGGCUGAAUCUGAGGAAAGUCCGGGCUCCGCAGGGCAGGGUGCUGGGUAAUUCCCAGUGGAGGCGACUCUAAGGAAAGUGCCACAGAAAGAUACCGCUUCCGGCACGGAAGUAAGGGUGGAAUGGCGAGGUAAGAGCUCACCAGCAGCCGGGUGACCGGCUGGCUCGGUAAACCCCACCUGGAGCAAGACCGAAUAGAGGAGCUAUGGGGCGGCCCGUCCCGCUCCCGGGUUAGGUCGCUUGAGGCGCCGGGCAACCGGUGUCCCAGAUAGAUGAUUGCCCCUCUUAAUUGAGGACAGAACCCGGCUUACAGGCAUUCUUCGCAA
rnacentral:RNase_P_RNA from 1 species